rnacentral:tRNA from 2 species
GGGUGUAUAGCUCAGUUGGUUAGAGCGCAGCCCUGAUAAGGCUGAGGUCCCUGGUUCGAAUCCAGGUACACCCA